rnacentral:rRNA from 1 species
UACGUAGGGUGCAAGCGUUGUCCGGAAUUAUUGGGCGUAAAGAGCUCGUAGGCGGUUUGUCGCGUCGGCUGUGAAAACCUGGGGCUCAACCCCGGGCCUGCAGCCGAUACGGGCAUGACUGGAGUUCGGCAGGGGAGACUGGAAUUCCUGGUGUAGCGGUGAAAUGCGCAGAUAUCAGGAGGAACACCGGUGGCGAAGGCGGGUCUCUGGGCCGAUACUGACGCUGAGGAGCGAAAGCGUGGGGAGCGAACAGG